UAUAUCUUCUCCACGUUCUCCUCCUCCGCAUUGGUCGUCUUCUGUCUUCUUCCUCUUCGCCUCUCUCUCCGAGGCUUCUUCGGUUACUGAAGAAUUCUGCUUUGAAAGCUUCCAGAAACCAAGUAUAAAUAGUAGAAACUUGACAGCGGGUGUUCUUCCCUUUGGAAAUCUGAAAUUUUCUCGGGGUUUGAUUAUAUUCGUAUGGCUUGGGAUUGAAAUGUCUAUUUUCUUACCUCCUCCGUCUUCAAUAGCAUUUUGAGCUCUUUUGGCUAUGGAUUCUACCAACUGAUGUGUGUCCUGUUUUGUCAGAAUCAAUGACUUCUUGAGAAUAGCUGGCAAAAGGGAAAGAUGGGUAUCAUGAUUUAGAUUCUCUGUUUCGUAUUAAGCUUUUACUAUGCAGAAAAACUGCUUGAUUUGUUCCUAUUUUGGACUCCCUCGUGUGUCCGCUUUCAGGUUAUUAGGUAAGAUGAGUUUCGAGAAGAAUUCAUGGCUUUUGUUUGGUACGAUUAGGUAAUAGGAGACACUACUAACUUCUCAAUAUCACCAUUAAAAACCAAACACUGCCAAUGGUUUUGUCUGCGAAUGUAUAUCAGAUAUUAUGAUACAUACAUGUUCUGAGUCUCCGUCAAUUCCAAGUAUGUCUGAAGUGCAGCUCAAGAUUUUCUUUCAGAUUAUAAAGCUCUUAAGUCUUAACCUUUAUUGUUUUUCAGAGUUGUAAUUACACAAUCUUGAUGCAUCUUUGUUUGAUGAAUUAUCAUCAUCUGAAGGUCAAUGGAGCCGAAUGCAGGUUGUUAAAGACCUUACUCCACCCUAAUCUUGAUCCCUUGGACAUUCCGAUGGUGCUCAUAAAACCCCCAGAAGCAUGUUCAACAGCUGAAGCUACAGCGCAAUUCAAACUGAAACUAAUGCCUAAUAUUCUGCUUCUAGAGGAUUUCAGGAUUCUAUGGCUAAAUUUUCAGCGUUUCCAACAGACCAGCAAGAUGGGCCCUCUAUUGAUGCUGGAUAAUAUCACAAGCAGUGAAUAUCUUUAGUCGUUUGCGUUAAUGAUUUGCUGGAGAUGUGGGGACUAUGAUUCUGUCUUCGUGUCUGAGAGGUAUGUCUUAACUGAGUUCCUCUGCACAUGUUUUCUGUUUAUUACCACCUCUUGAACCAGUAAGCAGUUGAUCCGUCUUCUUCCAAGGGCCUAACAAGUUGCUCCUGUAUGUACAAAACUGCCACCAAUACAACUUUUGGUACCAUUAUUGUGAAUCUACAUGUGGUUUUGUUAUUUUUUUUUCUUUUGUUAAAAGCUUACAAAUGAAGGGCCGACUUGUCUCAGCGGUGAAACCAUUUCCUACGGUAGGGUAUGAGAUCGCAAGUUCGAAUCCAUCUCUCUACAUUAAAAUAUAGGGGUAAGGUGGCCUAAUAUAUUCCCUUCCCCAUCACCCCAUUAGAUGGAGAUACGAACUGGGUUGGUCCUUUGGUUAAAAGCUUACAAAUCUAUCCUCCCUAUGCAACGAAUGAAUGUCAAGAAGUGGAAGCGCCAUUGUAGGCAUUGGUUCUUCAGAUCCUCCACAGUUUAUGUAUAAUGAUGAAGUUGAUGAUGAUGAUGGACACUACAAAGAAUGCCUUCUUAUCUGCGGAGGAGAAACAUAAUGUCUAGACAAGCUAAAUAUGUCUUUCCCUUCAAACGGCGACGUCCAGUCCCGAGAAUUGGCUGUCGAUG